GACAGAUGAAGACUGUGAGCCUCACGUGGGACAACCUGAUGACCCUGUAUCUCCCCCAGCGCUUAGAACAGUGCUCUGCACAUAGUAAGUGCUUAACAAAUACCAACGUUAUCAUUAUAUAUAUGCAUCAUUAAUAAAUAGGGUAAUAAAUGUGUACAAAUAUACACAGUGCUGUGGGGCGGGGAAGGGGGUAGAGCAGAGGGAGGGAGUCAGGGAGAAGGGGAGGAGGGGCGGAGGGAAAGGGAGGGCUCAGUGUGGGAAGGCCUCCUGGAGGAGGUGAGCUCUCAGUAGGGCUUUGAAGAGGGGAAGAGAGUGAGUUUGGCGGAGGUGAGGAGGGAGGGCGUCACCAUAAUCAUCACCCUCCACCCCCAUCACCAUCCCCAGGACCCCCCCAACAGGAGCCCACUUAGUUGGGAGAGCCCCCCUUCCCACCGGAUUGUAUCUGAGGCAGGGGGACGAACGAGAUGACCCAGGCCGGGAAGUCGCGCGGGAUGCGGGGCCGCAGGGGGAGGCCAGCGGAUUAGAAGAGGGGCGUCGGCCUCCGACUCAACAGGUCAUGGCCAUCCGCAGGGUCAACCGGUCCCUCCCCCGGCCUCGCCACGGGGGAUGGGUGGGGGGGUCUUUUGGGGGCUGACCUGUCGGGCCUCAGUCCCUCCACGCACCCUGAUUCCCCUGUACCCAUUGGAAGCAGCGGGGCUUAGUGGAAAAGAGGCCGGGCUUGGGAGUCAGCGGUCGUGGGUUCUAAUCCCGGCUCCGCCACUUGUCUGCUGCGUGACCUUGGGCAACUCACUUAACUUCUCUGGGGCUCAGUUACCUCAUCUGUAAAAAUGGGGAUUAAAAGAAAAAGGGGGGGCCCCACGUGGGACAAUCUGAUUACCCUGUCUCUACCCCAGUGCUUAGAACAGUGCUCUGCACAUAGUAAGCACUUAACAAAUACCAUAAUAAUACGGAUGGAAAGGCUGAGGACGGCGGGCAGGGUCGGGGAGGGAGAUGACCAUCACCGACCACCGUCCUGGAGUCCAAACUCUCACGUAGGCAACCUCUGCCACGUGCCCUCCCUUCCCCCACCUCCCCCCACCCCGCCCUAUCGGGAGAGUCUUCCUUGGGUCUAGCCUCCUUCCCUCCCGCUGCAAUCCCAAAAUUCUUCCUCUUAGGCUUUAUCCUCAACCCUCAACACACACACACACACACACACACACACACACACACACCCCAGAAGUCCCCACUGCCCCCCCGCACCCCCGGCCAAACCCCAGCCUUGAAUUUCUGGAAUCUUUCCGGCCGC
rnacentral:lncRNA from 1 species